CACAUAUCAAAUUUAGGGUUCCAAUUACAAACCUCUCUGUAGGAAAAAUCCGAUAGUAACAUGUCUGCAGAUGAUCCGCGUGCACGUUGUCAUGGCGACAAAUCAGAUGAUAAUGGUGGAAGCAUGAGAAACUGCAAUGGAGAUCAUUUGGGAUAUGGUGUCUGAGAUUGGUGAAUGUUCAGUUAAGAGAAAGAAGUGUGCAAAGAAAUGUCGUACUGGUAACAUCCCUGCUAAGAAAACUGCGAAUAUCGCUCAAGUGACUAAUGUUGCUGCCGUUGUAAAUCACCUCACAGACAAUGGAAAAGUUGUUAUUCAAUGUAUUAAGGAAGAAAGUUUGAUACUGCAGAUGCUAAUAGAUUUAUGAAGGAGAACGAAACGCAUGUUGAAAAGUGUGUUGCAAAUAAAAAACAUGUUGGCAAUAAGAAAUCUGUUGGCAAAUCUGUGGAUAAGAAAGAUUUAUGAAGGAAAAGGAAACACAUGUUAAAAAGUGUGUUGCAAAGAAAAAACAUGUUGGCAAGAAGAAAUAUGUUGGAAAAUCUAUGGAUAAGAAAGGUAAAUAAAAAUUUGUAGAGAAUGCACGAGUCUCAACAAUAUUCUUGGAAGAGCCACAUUGGAAAUGCAAAAACAUGCACAUCUAAUGUUAUGGUAAGCACAUAUUUGAAUUUGAUCUAUUGUGUUAUAUUUCAAAGGGUUUAUAAUUUGGAGUGUUGUGCAAUUGAUAUCUUUGCAAUAUUUUCCAAGAACAAUAGCAAAAAUAUUCCUUAGAACAAAUCUAUCUGAGAUCAAAGUCGUUGAUGUAGAAGAAACCAAAAUAUUCAAAUGUCGGGUUCACAUUGCAAAAUGGAAGAACGAACCAAGCGCCUAUGAAAAAUACAUGUCUUUAGGAUGAUAUGAAUUUGAAAAGAGAAAAAACCUAUGUAAUGGCGAUACCUCG